rnacentral:rRNA from 1 species
GUGACGAAGCGACGCCGCGUGCGGGAGGAAGGCCUUCGGGUUGUAAACCGCUGUCGGGAGUUAAGAAAUGCAAGGAUGUUAAUAGCGUUCUUGCUUGACUAAGGCUCCGGAGGAAGCCACGGCUAACUCUGUGCCAGCAGCCGCGGUAAUACAGAGGCGGCAAGCGUUGUUCGGAAUUAUUGGGCGUAAAGAGCACGUAGGCGGCUGUGUAAGUCGGUUGUGAAAGCCUUCCGCUCAACGGAAGAACGGCAUCCGAUACUGCAUGGCUUGAGUGUGGGAGGGGAGAGUGGAACUUCUGGUGGAGCGGUGAAAUGCGUAGAUAUCAGAAGGAACACCGGCGGCGAAGGCGACUCUCUGGUCCAUAACUGACGCUGAGUGUGCGAAAGCUAGGGGAGCAAACGGGAUUAGAUACCCCGGUAGUCCUAGCCGUAAACGAU